UACGUAGGGUGCAAGCGUUACUCGGAAUUACUGGGCGUAAAGCGUGCGCAGGCGGUUUUGUAAGUCUGUCGUGAAAUCCCCGGGCUCAACCUGGGAAUGGCCAUGGAAACUGGCGAACUGGAGUGUGGCAGAGGGGGGUGGAAUUCCGCGUGUAGCAGUGAAAUGCGUAGAGAUGCGGAGGAACACCGAUGGCGAAGGCAGCCCCCUGGGCUAGCACUGACGCUCAGGCACGAAAGCGUGGGGAGCAAACAGG
rnacentral:rRNA from 1 species